GUGCCAGCAGCCGCGGUAAUACGGAGGAUCCGAGCGUUAUCCGGAUUUACUGGGUUUAAAGGGUGCGUAGGCGGCUCCCUCAGUCAGCGGUGAAAUGUGUCGGCUCAACCGACAACCUGCCGUUGAUACUGGGGAGCUUGAGUUGGGUUGAGGCAGGCGGAAUGUGCGGUGUAGCGGUGAAAUGCAUAGAUAUCGCACAGAACGCCGAUUGCGUAGGCAGCUUGCCAAGCCCACACUGACGCUGAGGCACGAAAGCGUGGGGAUCAAACAGGAUUAGAAACCCCCGUAGUCC
rnacentral:rRNA from 1 species